rnacentral:rRNA from 1 species
AUGGGUUGUAAACUUCUUUUAUACAGGAAGAAAACACUGGUAUGUAUACCAGCUUGACGGUACUGUAAGAAUAAAGAACGGCUAACUCCACGCCGUGCCCCCCGCCGCUA